UAAUAGCGCAAAAUCUAUAGUUCAAUGGUUUUCAUUGGUCACCUGUUACAAAGAGCAGCUGACGCUUUUUUUUUUCCCUGAGGCGCACACAAGCACUCGUAAAUCGAUCGUUGUAAGAUAUAGAGGGGGGUGAAUUCUUCAAGUUUGUCUCUUAGCAACAGUAGAGAAACUUCCGUUUGCUAAAAGAAACCCUUGUGUCACUUCGGUGUUAUCACAUUAGUACUACUGGGACAAAUCGUAAUAAACAACUAUAACAGUAUAAGACAAAUUGUUUAGUCAUGGUGAUGUACAGUAUAGAUACUACGAUAUAAUCCAUAAACUGUAUAAAAAAAAAAUACAAACCAAUAAAUUUAUUUUACCCGAAUGACAUCAAGAAAGAAAGAUCAGUCAGCAAUACAGCUGGAGUUGAAUAGUCAAGAAGAUUGGGAUGAUGCUCUUGCAAAAAAAGGCCUUCUUGUUGUGGAUGUUUAUCAGCAGUGGGCUGGACCUUGUUUGGCCAUGCAAAGUAAUCUGAAAAAGAUUAAGAUAGAACUUAGGGAUGAACUUCUUCAUUUUGCUGUAGCAAAUGCUGAUAAGAUUGAUGCUUUGAAAAAGUACAGAGGGAAAUGUGAACCAACAUGGUUGUUUUUUGGAAGUGGACAUUUAAUUGGUGUCAUUAAGGGAGCUAAUGCACAACUUUUGCAGAAACAAAUAGUAGAAAAACUUCAAGCUGAACAUAGUGUCCUAAAAGGAGAAACUGAAAGAGUAGUGAUUUGUGAUCCUGCAAUGUCUGUAGAAACCGACAAAGAACAGGAACAGACAGCUAAGGAAGAAGAAGAGAAAGAAGUAGAUGAGGAGGAAAAUGAAAUUGUGGAAGGAAUGAAUGAAAUUCGGAGAAGGUCAAGAGCAAAAAUUAGUCAGUUUUCAGAAGAGGAUUUACAAAUUGGGAUGAUGAGCCAGCUGACAUUACCUCGACCUGUUACUGUAGCCAUAAUUAAGCCUGAUGUUGUUGGUGACGGAAUGGCUUAUGACAUUAUUAGAGAGAUUCAAAAUUCUGGGUUUGAAAUAGUGCAACAAGAAAACAGAAAACUUUGCCAGGAAGAAGUUGAAAAAUUAUAUGGAUCCUGUUUAACAACUGAAACUUUUGAAGAGCUUUUGACAUUCAUGACUUCCAAAGAAUGUCACUUACUUUUAUUGGCUAAAGAAGAAAAUGUUAUCAGUGAAUGGAUUGGAAAGAUGGGUCCUGAAAAAGUAAACCUAGCUAAAGAAACAGCUCCUGACAGUUUGAGAGCCCAGUAUGGUACAGAUGAUAUAAGGAAUGCAGUUCAUGGCAGUGCAGAUGAACAUGCUGUCUUAAGGGAAGUUUCCCUGCUGUUUCCAACUUUUCUAAAUCAACAGGAACUUGCUAAAGAUUCUUCUAAGGAACCAACCCAAGAUGAAAGACAGAUGCCAAGUGAAGGUAUAACAACAGAACCUUAUGAAGGUGAUGGAGGAGGAAGAAAAGGUUCAACUGAUUCAAUCUAAGCAGAUCUAAGAGUUGUACAAACUGCUUUGUUUUCCUCUUUGGAAGAAUCAACAUAUGACAGUGCAACAAAAUAUUCUUCAACAACACCUUGAUCAGAAUGAAAACACAACUCAAAAAGGCACAGAUAGAAACAAUACAUCUGUAGCUACAGAAAAAAACAAUGGUAUAGGAGAAG
rnacentral:misc_RNA from 1 species